CUAGCAUGAUGGUAAAGAUGGAGAUGAUAACAUUUUUCUGAAGAAGAAUCUUUUAGGAGCGAUUUAGGAGAGAUGAUCUCAAUUUUGGAGUCAUCAGAUCCAGCCAUUAUUUAUUGACGGCUGCACUGAUUAAAAUGAUUGGCUAAGGAGGCUUCAUGAUUGGAUUGUGGAAAAAGUUUUAAAAGAAUCCGCUAGAUACUUUGCCAAAUAAAGUACUUUAAUGCUAGCGAGACUAGCUAGCGUCUUCGUCCAGCAAGAUGUGGGCCGGUACGACAUAGAUAUAUGGGCACAAAACUACUUCAAAAACUGCUGAGAAGAAAACUAUAUUUAUAGAUGUUGAACGAUAAUCUUAAAGAUAGCCUGCCAUCAUUCGAGGGAUAUACCAGAGAUUGAGUAUCAUUAGGAUCUGAUGUGGGAAAAUUUCCACCUUUUGAUGCACUGAAAAUGUCGCGAACAUGUGAUGUGGGAUUUGAAUUCCAUGAGAGAAUAUGAGACAUAAUUAUACACAUGUGCUUGGCCCACAAGUAUAACUGACUUUGUUAUCAGAACUGAUUUUUAUUUGAAGUUAAUGUGGCAGGUCAGUUUAAUAUUCAUACAUUA
rnacentral:lncRNA from 1 species